rnacentral:tRNA from 1 species
CAGAACAUAGCUAAACAAGAAAAGCAUCUCCCUUACACCGAGAAGUCAUCCGUGCAAAUCGGAUUGCUCUGAC